AGGUGGGAGGAUUGCUUGAGCCUGGGAGGUGGAGGUUGCAGUGAGCCAAGAUCAUGCCACUGCACUCCAGCCUGGGCAACAGAGUGAGACUCUUUCUC
ensembl:miRNA